rnacentral:rRNA from 1 species
UUUACACAUGCAAGUCGAACGGAAACGAAAAUAGCUUGCUAUUUGGCGUCGAGUGGCGAACGGGUGAGUAACGCGUAGGAAUCUACCCAGUAGAGGGGGAUAGCCCGAAGAAAUUCGGAUUAAUACCGCAUAAUCUCUACGGAGUAAAGAAGGCCUCUUUACAAUGCUUUUACUAUUGGAUGAGCCUGCGUUAGAUUAGUUAGUUGGUAGGGUAAAAGCCUACCAAGGCGACGAUCUAUAGCUGGUUUUACGAGAAUGAUCAGCCACACUGGAACUGGGACACGGUCCAGACUCCUACGGGAGGCAACAGUGAAGAAUAUUGGACAAUGGGGGAAACCCUGAUCCAGCAAUGUUGCGUGUGUGAAGAAGGUCCGAGGAUUGUAAAGCACUUUCAGUAAGCAAGAAAAAUGUAAAUCUAAUAGAUUUGCAUGUUGACCACUUAUAGAAGAAGCACCGGCUAACUCCGUGCCAGCAGCCGCGGUAAUACGGAGGGUGCGAGCGUUAAUCGGAAUUACUGGGCGUAAAGGGUAAGUAGGCGGUUUAUAAAGUCACAUGUGAAAGCCCUAGGCUUAACCUAGGAAGUGCAU